rnacentral:rRNA from 1 species
AUACGAUGAAGAGUUUGAUCCUGGCUCAGGAUGAACGCUAGCGGCAGGCCUAACACAUGCAAGUCGAGGGGUAGAGUAAGCUUGCUUACUUGAGACCGGCGCACGGGUGCGUAACGCGUAUGCAAUCUACCUUAUACUAAGGGAUAGCCCAGAGAAAUUUGGAUUAAUACCUUAUAGUUAAUUGAAAAGGCAUCUUUUUAAUUAUAAAGAUUUAUCGGUAUAAGAUGGGCAUGCGUCCCAUUAGUUAGUUGGUAAGGUAACGGCUUACCAAGACGAUGAUGGGUAGGGGUCCU